AGCGAACGCUGGCGGCAGGCUUAACACAUGCAAGUCGAACGGGCGUAGCAAUACGUCAGUGGCAGACGGGUGAGUAACGCGUGGGAACGUACCUUUUGGUUCGGAACAACCCAGGGAAACUUGGGCUAAUACCGGAUAAGCCCUUACGGGGAAAGAUUUAUCGCCAAAAGAUCGGCCCGCGUCUGAUUAGCUAGUUGGUGAGGUAACGGCUCACCAAGGCGACGAUCAGUAGCUGGUCUGAGAGGANGAUCAGCCACAUUGGGACUGAGACACGGCCCAGACUCCUACGGGAGGCAGCAGGUGGGGAAUAUUGGACAAUGGGCGCAAGCCUGAUCCAGCCACGCCGCGUGAGUGAUGAAGGCCUU
rnacentral:rRNA from 1 species